AGAGUUUGAUCAUGGCUCAGAACGAACGCUGGCGGCAGGCCUAACACAUGCAAGUCGAGCGCCCCGCAAGGGGAGCGGCGCACGGGUGAGUAACACGUGGGAACGUGCCUUUCAGUUCGGAACAACUCAGGGAAACUUGAGCUAAUGCCGGAUACGCCCCUCGGGGGAAAGAUUUAUCGCUGAAAGAUCGGCCCGCGUUGGAUUAGCUAGUUGGUGAGGUAACGGCUCACCAAGGCGACGAUCCAUAGCUGAUCUGAGAGGAUGAUCAGCCACACUGGAACUGAGACACGGUCCAGACUCCUACGGGAGGCAGCAGUGGGGAAUAUUGGACAAUGGGCGCAAGCCUGAUCCAGCCAUACCGCGUGAGUGAAGAAGGCCCUCGGGUUGUAAAGCUCUUUUGUUGGGAAAGAAAUCCCGUUGGUUAAUACCCGGCGGGGAUGACGGUACCCAAAGAAUAAGCACCGGCUAACUACGUGCCAGCAGCCGCGGUAAUA
rnacentral:rRNA from 1 species